GGAAUCCCGUCCGGGUAGUCGUGAGCCGCGAGCCCGGUAUCGAGCCUUUCCGUGAGGCUUGCAACAGCCCUACGGAUGCGUAGGCACGAAAGCAGGCGAGGUGCAAGGCAGCGGGUGAAGCCGCCCUUGAAGGUGUGGAGUCCCGAAAAUUUUGGUGGGAGAGUGCCGACGGCUUUGGCCCUCCGGCAGGCCACGAUCUGCAUCACGCGUCACGGCCAGUGGUGCGGAUACUCACCGGGGUCCGAGGCCG
rfam:Thiocapsa sp. KS1 genome assembly, scaffold: THKS1_scaffold1